rnacentral:misc_RNA from 1 species
AGGUUGCGACAUGUGGACAUGU